UUUCAAAGUGCGAGAGUAGGCUAUUCUAGAUAGGAUUAAGAGAGCUAUGAAAGCCUGUAUACAGAUGAAGAGGUCUCAAUGAAGAGCAGUGGUUCUCAGUCCUGGUCCUGGGGACUCAAAGGGAUACCUUGUAACUGGAGAUUGCCUACAGUUACCGUGUAGGGCACUGCAAGGUUGGGUGACCAGGGCCAUCUGGGACUGCCUCCUGGAGAAAUUCAGGCAUGUGAAGGCUACCUGUGUUCUGCAUAACUUCAUGAGGAUGGACACGAGGACCAGGAGUGGAUCUGCAGCUUGCCGGCGUGUGCCAGAGGAGAAGUCUGGUGCUCUGCAGGAUGUUUCAAGGUUGGGGUCCAGCAACGCAGCAUGAGAGGCAAUCCGUGUGCAGGAGAUCUUCACCUCCUACUUCUUCAAAGAGAGUGCUGUUCCCUGGCAACACCAUAGACUACAUUAUGCACAACCAAAGGCUAUUUUAAGAGCCAUCCACAUUGCAAUAAGAUUAUUCUUCCAUUUACUUAGCUAUGUCAACUGCAGUUAUUCAAUUCCCAGUUUCUCUCCCUUUGAUUUCUACUUCUCAGGUGAGGGUGCUGUUUAGAUAAGGGUGUGAUGUCUGUAGAAAAACAAAACAGGCUGUUUUAAGUCACUCAUAUUGAGAAAAUGUAGAACAAUUAGACACCCUAUAACCCACAACUACACACUCAUGUAUCAAUCUGAUUGAUGGAUUGUGUUGUGCAGUAAGCAGGCUCAGGUGUAUAAUUGUGACUCCGUCCACCUUCAAAGAACAGGCAAGAGGGCUAACCAUGGAGAAUAGUAAGACACUUCAUUAUUUCUAUAACUAUGCUAUAUUGUUUGUCCUCGUGUGUCCAUUCAUGUUUUUCAGCAUAAAGUACUCUGCAGCUACUUAGUGGACACCAGGUGAGGCCACACACAGAUUCCUGUUGAACACUCAUUAAACCUAACACCCUGUGCGGAUUGUCAACGCGCAUGUCGUUCGGCCUACUUCUACGAAAAACACAAAAUUGAAACAUGGCACCCCAAGGCAUGUAAAUCUGUAAGCAGUUGUGAUAUUAACAAGAAAUGUUCAAAAUGCCAUUGCAAUUACAACCUUAAAAUAGACAGCCCUAAACCUCAUGUGUGUGGAAUCAUACAUUACAGAUUGGGCAAAGGGCCUUUGAAAAGCAGAGACGCUGAAGUGGUUCAAGAAGUGCCACAUGAGUGUUAUAUUCAGCCCUUGGCUGAAGAUGAACAUUCAGAGAAAUAUGUGUUUUAUGAUUUUGAGACUAAUCAGCAAUCCGGGGUUCAUUUGCCUAUUUUUGUACCUACCAUGACUUUCAAGGGUGAAAAGUGGUCGGCAGAGGGGCCCAAUUGUGCACUCCUCUUUCUAAAACACUUCAGAAAACCCCAGUACAGAAACUUCACGUUUAUAGCUCACAAUUCUAGAGCCUAUGACUCCUAUCCUCUUUUGAACCCUCUGAUACAACAAGGUGUUGCACCCAGUGUCAUAGCUCAAGGUAGUAAAAUCUUGUGUUUUGUAGACCCCGCCUUCAACCAGAGAUACAUUGACAGUUUAAGUUUCUUACCCAUGAGAUUGGCUCAAAUGCCUGAGGCCUUGGGUUUUGGAAACUCUGUGAAAGGGUGGUUUCCUCAUUUCUUCACAUCUGAGGAGAAUCUACAUUAUAUUGGAUCAUAUCCCAGCCCCGAAAUGUAUGGAUGUGAUCAAAUGUCUC
rnacentral:lncRNA from 1 species